AUUGAACGCUGGCUGCAGUCCUACCACAUGCAAGUCGCGCGAGAGGCGGACGGGUGAGUAAUGUAUGGGGACUGCCCGAUAGAGGGGGAUAACUACUGGAAACGGUAGCUAAUCCCGCAUACUAUCGGAUAACCCAUAUGGGAUUAUCUAGUAGGUGAGGUAAUGGCUCACCUAGGCGACGAUCCCUAGCUGGUCUGAGAGGGUGAUCAGCAACACUGGGAAUGAGACACGGCCCAGACUCCUACGGAGGCAGCAGUGGGGAACAUUGCACAAUGGGCGAAAGCCUGAUGCAGCCAUGCCGCGUGUAUGAAGAAGGCUCUAGGGUGGUAAAGUACUUUCAGUCGGGAGGCGUUACCGACAGAAGAAGCACCGGCUAACUCCGUGCCAGCAGCCGCGGUAAUAC
rnacentral:rRNA from 1 species